rnacentral:lncRNA from 1 species
AGGUGCGUGUGUAGUGCAUGUGAACAUUGUUGCGUCUCUUAAUUGCUCAGUAUCGCGCCUGUACACUCACAAUUCUCCAAGAUGUUUGAUUUGGCGAUGAUAAUUAAAAAUUAAUAGUCCCGGUAAGUGCAUGUAAGUACAUCAAUACGAAGGAUACAGCCAAUUUUGAUCCUCACAAGUGGUACCGGGUGUUCUGGAAGGAUAACACACACUGCGGCCACUAUCACGCUCAAGUGAUUAAGCUUUACGGCACCGAGGAUGAUGCAAGGAAUGCAACAGAAAAACGACCAUCCAUACCGCAGACCCGAUUGCGACUCCUCCGAUAGCUGCAGUUCAAAUGAUGUGGACAAUGAGUCGUUUAAAAAACAAAGAACCUUAUCCUUUGCGGGCGUUGCAGCCGCAAGCCUCAAAAACAGAAACGACUUGCACCUUUGCCACCACUAUGUGUUGCCACGCUGGAACGACCACAGCGACCACGGACUGCCCUGAAGUAGCCCACUCAUGUGUGAGGGAGGCUGCACUGCUUAUCAAUUAUGUGCCCACUGACAGAGAGGUGCAUCGGAGCAAAGGAAUUGCCGUUUCCAAGAGGUUGUACAAUCACCCCAUGGGCUUGAAAAGACAGACCCGUUUUGUUCGUGAGGCGGCCGUUACCAUUUUUUAUACAGCAGGCCAAGUCGGUAGAAGUGUUACUGGCGCAGCCUCCAAUCGGUCUAAAGGGGAGGAGAAAUCUCCCUAGGAGAAAGAAACAUAUGUUGUGUUUUCAGCACACCGUUCUGAUUGGAGAGGUUGAGCAAAUGAAGAAGCUCCUCAAUAAAGCGUUGGCAAACAAAAUUAAUGACUUUAUGAAAUCAAAAGAUUAACCAAGGAAUGGCACAUCAAAUAAAAUAUUUUGUUUGAUUUCUGUGUUCA